rnacentral:rRNA from 1 species
UACGAAGGGGGCUAGCGUUGCUCGGAAUUACUGGGCGUAAAGGGUGCGUAGGCGGGUCUUUAAGUCAGGGGUGAAAUCCUGGAGCUCAACUCCAGAACUGCCUUUGAUACUGAAGAUCUUGAGUUCGGGAGAGGUGAGUGGAACUGCGAGUGUAGAGGUGAAAUUCGUAGAUAUUCGCAAGAACACCAGUGGCGAAGGCGGCUCACUGGCCCGAUACUGACGCUGAGGCACGAAAGCUAGGGGAGCGAACGGG